CCCAGCACGCUGCGGCGCUGGCGGCCGCGCGGGAGCGCUUCCCUUCGCCCGGCCUCGUCCGGUGCCCCUGAACCCCCCGUGCUCCCCAACAGCGGGUCCUUCCGUCCAGGGGACGGCGGCAAUGGACACUGAGGGGGUGGGGGGAGGGCCCCCCUAGACCCCCCCGGCCCCACGGAUCCCCGGAAAACCGCACUGCUCGAGGCCCCCCCACAGAUGAGACCUCUCCACCUCCUGCCAAAGAGGCCUCUGGCCACGCGCCUGCGGGAAGGGCUUCAGCCAGAAUUCCAACCUGGCCACGCACCGGUGCAUCCACGCCGGGGAGAAGCCCUUUGGCUGCUGGGACUGCGGGAAGCGCUGCGGGGAGAGCUCGGCACUGGUGCAGCACCGGCGGAUGCACACCUGGGAGCGGCCGUACACAUGCAGGGAAUGCAGGAAGAGCUUCAGCGUCAGCUCCAACUUGUGGCAACACUACCGUACCCAUGGCCGAGAGCGACUCCACCUCUGCCCUGAGUGCGGGAACUUUCUGGAACCCUGUCCAGCUCUGGAGGCACCGCAGGGGGCAUGGGUACAGUGACACCUGGAGGGGCGUCAGGACACCUGGAUGGGUUGGGACACAUGAAUGAGGAUAGGGCCAUCGUAAUGGGGACGCUAGCAUGAGGAUGGGGCGGAGGGGAUGGGAUGGGAACAAGGAUGGAGAUGUGUUGGUUUGGCGCAGCCUGGUUUUUGGCGGGGGGGCGGGUGGUGCCACAGGUGUGGCUUCUCUGAGAAGCGUCUGGAAGCUUCCACCAUAUCCAAUCUGAUGGCUGUGAAGAUGGACGUGCUGCAGGCCCAAUUAGAGAGGUUGGUAACACCUCUGUGAUGACAUAUUUAAGCAGAAAAUCAAAACCGUGUUUGCACGUUUUUUUCCUGGGGUGGCAAAGCCCUGCUGCUGGGGCCAUCCUCGUGCAGCCUGCAGCGAUGCGCUGCAGCCACCGCCAUCUCAGCAAGGCCUGCGGCGAGCCUUGCCUGCCUGGCUGCCCCGAGCCAGCUGCACUGCCGGUGGAAAGGGCAGGGACAGUGGCAGCAGCGUCCCCAUCCCAGCACCCCGCAUGAGGAGAGGCAUUAAACAGCGCCAGCACCGCGGCGGCCGCCACUGCCCUGCAAUGGCAGCAGGGCUGUAUGGCCAGCAGUGGAAGCACAAUGAGCAGCUCCCUGAUGCAGAACCUAGACCAAAUCAACAUAGUGCUGCAUGAUCCUGCAGGAAUCUUUGGACUGGUUCAACUUGUCGGCACUGGUACUGGGAUUUGGGGUAGACUGGAAAUGAAGGGCACUGGGAAUGGGUGUGGGGACACAGGACAUGGGGGACACCAAACACUGGUGGGGGAACACACUGCAAGUAAUGGGGGGACACUAGGGACAGGUGGGCUGUACACUGGGGACAGGGGGGACAAUGAGAAUAAGUUUGGGGACCCUGGGAAUGGGUGGGGGCCAGACUGGGAAUGGGUUGUGGGGACACUGGGAGUGGGAGGUCAUAUGGGGUCACCACUCUUCCCACAGAUCCGGGGGCACAGUCCUAACCCUUCCCCCCUGU